rnacentral:antisense_RNA from 1 species
GUCAGAGGUGGCUGUGCGUGGGAGACCCCUUGGGUCUGCCGGUCCCUAGAGUCCCGGUCUGCGAACCCGCGUACAGCUGCCACCCCA